rnacentral:rRNA from 1 species
UACGUAGGGAGCGAGCGUUAUCCGGAAUUAUUGGGCGUAAAGCGUGCGUAGGCGGCGUGUUAAGUCGAAUGUGAAAUCCCACAGCUCAACUGUGGAGGGUCAUUCGAAACUGGCAUGCUAGAGUAUGGCAGAGGUUAGUGGAAUUCAAUGUGUAGCGGUAAAAUGCGUAGAUAUAUUGAGGAACACCAGUGGCGAAGGCGGCUAACUGGACCAGAACUGACGCUGAGGCACGAAAGCGUGGGGAGCAAACAGG